rnacentral:sRNA from 1 species
CAUGUGGGAAGGAUGAGAAGCUUCGACUAAGGUUCGAUUCGAGCGAAGCGAGAAAGCGUUGCCGCAGGCAACGACCCGAAGGGCGAGGCGCAGCGCGACGAGUACUCCUUCCCCCACCACCA